GAUGAUGUGUCAUACCAAAGUCACAGAAC
rnacentral:piRNA from 1 species